CAACCUCCAAAUCCCAAGGUCACAAGGCCAGCAGCACCUCCGGUGUCGAGGAGAGAAGCAAGCACAAGGCCCAGAGGACAUCGAGAUCCAGCUCUUCCUCCUCCUCCUCCUCCUCUUCCAGUUCUUCUAGCUCCACCUCAUCCUCAUCCUCCAGUGAUGGCCGGAAGAAGCGAGGGAAGCACAAAGAUAAGAAGAAGAGGAAGAAGAAGAAGAAACGGAAGAAGAAGAUGAAGAGGAAAGGCAAGGAGAAGGCAGUGGUGGUGCACCAGGCCGAGGCUCUGCCCGGCCCCUCUCUGGAUCAGUGGCACAGAUCAGCUGGGGAGGACAAUGAUGGCCCAGUCCUGACAGACGAGCAGAAGUCUCGUAUCCAGGCCAUGAAGCCCAUGACAAAGGAGGAGUGGGACGCUCGACAGAGCGUUAUUCGAAAGGUGGUGGACCCAGAGACCGGCCGUACAAGGUGUGGUACAGAAGGCACAGCCAGCCAGCCCUGCCCUCUGCUCAGUGCUGAGUAUUGGCCCAGGUUGUGCUC
rnacentral:lncRNA from 1 species